rnacentral:lncRNA from 1 species
UCCAUGUUUGCAUUUCCUCUAUGUUCCCAUCCCUCCCUAUGGCCAUAAGUCAGACAUCUGGGGAGGAGACUUGGCUACCACCACCUCCGACUGCUUGGCUCCUAUAGGGAGACUUUCUGAGUGGGGUCAAGAGAGAUACUGCCUUUUGGAUCAGAUGCGGAUCUGAUCCCUGAGAGAUCCCCCAGCUCUGCUGUCCUUUCUCUCCUCCCAGACCCCAGACCUCACCAAUGGCUUUUCCUGGGAAACAGAGGACAUGCUUGCCCCAUUGAGGAACACUGGAAAAUGCUGCCUGAGAAGCCCCGGGCCUGGCUUGAGCCUUGAGAAAGAAGACAUCACCAUCAGGCACAUCACGAUGGAAAAGAUGAAUGUCUGUCCCAGAUGACCAAUGGAGCAGAGGUGGCACUGUGAUGUAUGGCCCUUUCAGGAGCUGAGUUACAAGCCUCAUCAUCACUCCCUUCCCAAGUCAUCACGAGGGAAUGUUUCUCUCUGCACAAGACCAGUGAGCACCUCAGAAGCCCCCCAGCACUGGCAUGGAGCAAUAGAGAGACCCUGAGAUCUGGAGUCCCCAGGUUGGCUGUGUCACUUGUACAAAUGACUUAACUUUUUGAGUGUCUCCUUCUUAGUCUGUUUGGGAGCCUUUCUUGCUAGCUGACAGUCAGUCACUCAUGAUGGUGCCAUUGCUGGCAAGUCACUCUGAACCUUCAGAACGGUGGCACAUGUUUCGGGAACAUCUUGGUGUUUGUGAGCUGUCCUCUGCUUACUGCCCUGAUGUCAUUCGGGAUUUGCUGCCUUUAAGCACACACAGUGUCACCGCUGUCUCUCCUGCCUGCAGUGGGGAGGAGCAUGGAGGGAAGGUUCUAAGGUGACACUGGGGAUGGCCUGAACAUCACAGAGCCUCUUUGGAGGCCCAGGUUGAAUGGGGGGAGGGGCUCAGCUGUGCUGGAAAUUGUCUAGGGAGAGCCCCCCCCCCACCCACCCAGUGACUGAUUCUCAAAGGAAAUAAGUUCUACUAAACACAUUAGUCUAGUAUGGAGACGAUUCUACAGGGCAUCCAGGUACUGGACUCUGCUCCUAUCUUGCUGGUGACCCUUGUGCUAAUUCUUGGCCUCUAAGAGACCCAGGUCCUCAAUUGCAUGGUGGAUGCACCCACAUGUUUUCCAAUUCACUGGUAAAUGUGGUACCUCCCAGGCUGCAGAUUCUCCUGGUAUCAUGGCUCAAUCUCUUAGUUAUUAACUCUUAUUGCUGGCAUCUGCUGAGGAACAAGCUGUGGCUCAUGGGAAGUCUCCAGGCAGCCUUCUCUGCUUCCAGGAAUAGGCAGAGAAAGAGCUGCUUUUCUAAACACUUCUAGCAACAGUGUCCUCUAUUCCCCCCCAGAGAGUCACAGCACCCCAUCAAGCAGCCCAUACUCACACCCCCACUUCUGUUCUUAUCCAGGGGCUUAGCUUCUGUAAGAGGGUGGAAUGUUUCCCUUUUAGUUGAGAGUUGAUGGGGCUUGCUGGGUCUGGAAGAUGGGUAUUCAUCAGGACCAUUUGAGAUUUAAGCACCCCUAGAAGAGUUAAGAAAAACAAGAGUCUGCCUGGAUAGUUCUCCAGAAGCCAUCUUCCUAGCUUUGAUGCUGUGUUUCCAAGUGAAUAAUAGGAGGUGGGUACAUUCAGCAGGUAUAUCUUAGGCUUGGGAAGGACCUGGGGCUUUGGUCAGUGAGGGGGCAGUAAUAGGUUCCAUAGCCUGUGUGCUCAAAUACAGAAUCUAGCAUACAAUCAGACGACCCUUGGAGGAUCUGGCCCCAAACACAUUUUUGUGACUUGUGCUUUUGAUUAGGCAGAAGGUACAAAGGGCAAACUUAGUGUCUCAACCAUCUCAAGCAUUCAGUUCACUGCACAGAGCACAUCCGCAUACUUAGAGCUGUACAGUCAUCACCUCUACCACCUCCAGAGCUCAGCUGAAACCCUAUGUCCAUUGCACACUGGUUCCUCUUUCUCUUUGUCCAGACCCUGACAACCCCAAUUUCUACCCCAUUCUAUGUCUCCCUUGUCUGAUUGCCCUGGAGAUCUUGUAUAACAUGUAUCCUGUGACUGGCUUCUUAGGUUCCGCAUGAUAAGCAUAGGGACUGUCCAUGUUGGAUCAUGCAUCAGAACACCCUUUUAUGAAGCCAUUACUGCAUGUAUUGGGCACAUUGUCCUCUCACCCUGCAGUGACACUUGGGUCUCUGCUACCAUUUGUUGCUGUGAAGGGGGGCACACAGAAGUGCAGUGGUUUUUUUUUUUUGUUUGUUUGUUUUUUUUUAUUGGAAUCAGUAACAUUUAAAACCUAAGACAUUCCCUAGGGAGCAAGCAUGUGUGGGUUCUUCAGGAGACGGUGGAAUCUGGCCACUAUGCUCCCUCCCAUCGUUUUCUUGGCCACCAUGGGAGCUGUGUGAGAUUGCUUUGCUGUUCCAGUGGCAAGCACCUUGUGGAUAGACUCUCCUCAAUCCAGUCCAAAAUCCAGCUGGCUACCAUCUUGCUGAGAUUCAGUGACAAUCUUUCAGCACUGCAUGAUAGUGACAGUGCAGAUGUCAGAGAAGGCCAGAGACUCAUCCUAUGUCCCAGUCAAGAAGUGAUACCACAGUGCUCUCUGGGACAGUCUAGACCCCACAGUGCUCUCUGGGGGCAGUUUAGACCCCAUGCUGCCUGUCCUCCAGGGCAAAGACCUGAAUCAUCUGACCCUCAGUUUUGUCUUGUGGAGAAACAUUGGAGAAAGUCCUUUCUCUGGCAGCCUGAAAAGGUGAAGACAGAAGAAAUGUGCAGGGACUGAAAUGCACUUGGAAUGUGCUAAUAACAGCUCAGGCCAAGCUAGGAGGCUGGGUGUGCAUGGAUGGGAACCCUUUACUGUGCUGGAAAGUGGAAAAGGGGUCCCAGGUUUAUUCCUAGGACCCCUGAAGCUUAUGGGAAAUGAACUUGGCAUACCCCAGUACUCCAUAAAUGUCGCUUUCCAGUCAAGGGGGCCAGAUCUGAGGUCUCCCACUCACUUUACAGCAAGAGCCAUGAAGUCAAGGGGGAUCACCCUGGUUUUGCCUAACUUCAAACCAGUCUGUAGUGGACAGCUUCCCACGACAGGAAGAUUCCUGCAAAGUCUUCCCAGUACCAGGAGGAGAUCAUUAGAAGGCACUAGGCUCCCAGUGCAAGAUCAACAAAGCCUGUACCAGGCACAGUGGCACACACCUUUUAGGUAGCAUUCAGGGAGCAGAGGCAGGUAGAUUUCUAUGAUUUGGAGGUGAAUUCCAGGCCAACCAGGGCUACACAGUGAGACACUGUCUCAGAAAAAAUAAAGCAAAACAAAAGGAAAAACAACAAACAAACAAACAAACAAAAAACGUUCUCCAAUACUUCUCCCACAGGGAGGAAGGCACAGGAGAUCUCCAGUUGGUCCACUCCAGGACUCACAGGCACUAGAUGCUAUGGCUUAAUGGUCUCCAGAUCUUGUUUAUUAAUUUGACCAAUAGCAGUGACUCAGAAUAAUCCCCGAGUUCUUGCAGUAGGAGUUCACUACAGUCAACCCAUCAGUGGCUCCCCUGCAUGUCCUUUCUGAAUAGCCCUUCUCCCUGACUUUGCCUUUGAGGCUCACCCAUGGCUGUCAUCUCAUCUUCCUGGGCUCAGUUCCAGGUGAGGCUCACCCAUGGCUGGCAUCUCAUCUUUCUUUCUUUCUGCGUUCAGUUCCAGCUGAUCUUCUUGUUCUGGGUCCUACAGGCCUCUCUUCCCACUCAAUGCUGCUGCAGCUACUUCCUCCUUUCCAAAGCCUGGAUGGAGACUUACGAAGCACCCGGAACACUGUGUGCCAACUUGAGCCUGUGGCCACAUAUGGGAAAACAAAUCUUUUAAGGUCAGAUGCGGACUCAGCAGAGUCUGGCCUCUCCCCCUUCGGCUUUGGGUGAGAUGGAACACAGAUGGAAGAGCCUCUCAUCAACUCACAUUCUGUGGAGAGAGGCCAGUUUGGUGCUACUUGACUUUCAUGUGCAAGCUAGAAGACAGAGACCACCUGGCAUAGGAGAGACAAGAAGGAUUUCAAGGCAGAGCAGCAAGGCUGCUGUGAGUCCUCUGAAGAUCUCUGACCCUGAAGACACUCCCUGCCCUGUUUCAUCACCUGGUAACCUGGGUCCUCACACACCUGCAACAGCAUCUGCUGGGAGCACCGGGGAACAGGCUGGGUGGGGAAGCACUUUGCAGACUUGAGCACAGAGAAGACACUUUAUUUGGGUCAUUCCUUUGUUAUGCAUUUAUGGUGCACCUACUGUGUGCACUGUGAACAAUGUGAUCUGUCUGCCUCGAGUUGAUUUGGAAAACAUCCCUGGACAGAGAAGGAUUGCCUGUCAGAUGGCUGUACUACACAUUCGUCGGUUAUAACUAACAACAGCCAGAGAGUUGGCAUGGCAACGUUUCUCCCUGAACUGCGAGGCAGGAAGCUUAAAAUAGGUACGCUGGAGGUGUGGCAGCAGCCGAGACAGAUAGCUCUGCAGCCUAAAAUGGGUGGCAAACUCAGUAUUCAUGCCCUUGUCUGUCCCCAGCAAGUCAGCAGUGCAGGGGCCGAGAGGGAAAACCCAAAAGCAUUCACUGUGGGGGCUGGAGAGAAAGUAGGACUCACUAUAAAUGUCCUUCCUUCCUGAAGCCCAGAGAACUUGAGUGGGACACCCUUGGCCAAGGGGCCCCAGGUGGGACUGCACCUGUUCUGAUGUCUCUUGUGGACUGCUGCCCAGCGGUGCGGGUGGGUUUCAAUGGCCAUGGCAUCACUUAGAUUCCGAGUUCAAGUCUCUCUUUUUCUGUGGAAUUCAUGUGCACAUGAAUGAUCCUCCUUGGGAAGUCCCAGGUCCUAAAAUAGGUUCCAUCCCCAGCACCAUAUACACUGGGUGUGGUGAAGGACUGUGAUCCUAGCACUCCAGAUCGGGGAGGCAGGAGGAGCAGAUGUCCAACUUACCUUCAGUAAGUUUGAGACUAGUCUGGGAUAUACAGAUCUUGUCUCAAAAACAAAACAAAACAAAACAAAACAAAACAAAACAAAACAAAACAAAACAAAACAAAACAUGAGUUAAGCCAAGCAUGUUGAUACAUGCCUGCAGUCCUCUCACCUAGUACUUGGGAGGCAGAGGCAGGAGGAUGCAGAGAUGAAGGCUAGUCUGGGCUAUGUGAAAGCUGUCUUAUCAAAAUGUGCAUGGAGCAUUUUGUGGUGAGACUCAUCUGUGAGUCUGGUUCAUCAUCCCUGCAGAGGAUGGGAACUCGGGUCUCACACAGGACUGCUUUGUGCUCCCUUGGCUCAGCAGGUAAUUGAGUGAGGUUUAUCAUUUCAGGGGUUUCUUCUCCUAUAAGCUCUGAGCCGAUUAAAAGAGACUAAUGGCCCUUGUUUGUUUCCAAGCUGAGAUCCUAGGUCUGGAAGAUGAAACUUCUCCCUCCCUCCCUCCUUCUCUCCCUCCCUCCCUCUCUCCCUCCCUUCCCUCUUCUCUUUCCUUCUUUCCUCCCUUUCUCCUUUCCUCCUUGACUUCCUUCCUCCUUCCUCAUUUCCUCCCUCACUCCCUUCCUCCUUUCUUUCUUUACUCCCUCCGUCCCUCCCUCCUCCCUCCCUCCCUUUCUUCUUUGCUUCCUUCCUUCCUUUCUCCCUCCCCCCUCCUCUUCUUUCUUCCUCUUUUCCCUUCUGUCUUUUUUCGUGAGCAGGGGACAAUCCAAUAGAGCACAAAGUGUCAACUGGAAACAGUUUAGGGAAGGAGAGGGCUGGACAGGACUUUGGGCCACUGUCUGAAACUAGGUAGUUAGUCUCCCUAGCUGCUUCACCUGCCUUCAGCAGAGCAUCCCCGCCCAGACCCACCAUUCUGGGUUCUUUUUGAUGGUCUCAUGGCCCUCUGCAGUCCAGGCUGCUUUUGAACUUCGGAUUCCCAUGCUUCUGCCCCCCAAGUCCUGGGGUUUCUGGCAUGUGCCACCCAUGGCUUGGAAAGUGAGACCUUUUGAGGUCUCAAGUGAGGAUAGGGAAUUAGACAGUUCUGUCAUCUUUCUUGUGUUCCCCUUGCUGAGACUGUGGGUUCUGGGGUCACCUGCAGACAUCGUCCUGGGUGUAGCCUGGGCAGGGAAGCUUCUGAGAAGCCAAGUGAAGCAGCAGGGUAGAUAACUAUCCACUUUCAGAUAGUGAACCCAAAGUCCCUUCCAGCCCUGCCCUUCUCCGAACGAAUUAAGUUUCCAGAUGCUACUGUGAGGCUCUCUUGCGCUCUGUUGCAUUUGCUUUUACUCUUCACUGGGAAAGGACUGUGUAGGCAGGAGGUCCCCAUCUUUCGAAUAUGUCUAGACACGAGAUGGCUUUGCAACCUGACUUUUGAGACCCUCUUAAACCUCAGUGAGCCUUGUGGAACCAGAGCACACAGUGAGAGACGGCCUUCAUUCCCUGGGAACUUGGUGGCCCAUCACUGCAGAACUAUCUGAGAAUCCAGGGGAUGAAAUGUGCCUCUGGCAACUUCCUUGCAUCCUGAACUCUUCUGGGCUAGAUGCACUGUGAGAGGCGCAUCUUCUAAUUGUUCAAUGAACAGCAGCCGAUUUCUCUCCUGCAUUGGUGCCGGUGUGCACCUGCUUGGUACUCUGAGGUUUCCUGGUGCCUUACAGAAGUGAAUAAGGAAAAACCCUAGAGGGAUGCUGACCUGUAACUUCUCCAUGUGAUGGAAAGUUCUAGAAAAAAGGUUAAUUCAUACCUUGGACCUAAAAUCAUUUGGAAUAAAUCAGUGCACUGUGGGGCCAAAGGGCAGGAUUUUCUUUGUUUCGUCUCCGGUCAUGAUCUGACUGUGGCUGCUCCCCAGUCUGACUCUUGCAUCAUGGGAAGAUUGAACCAAGUCCACGAGGAUAAGGCUUUCUUCAAAAGCAUGAUUUUUGGGCAGCUGUUUCUAUGACAAAGGGUGGCCAAAUGGUAUCUUUAUACAUCAAGAGUAAAAGGGAAGAGAACAAUGAAUGAGAUUGUCAAACAUUGAUGAAAACUUGACUUCAAUCUGUGUCCUUUCCAUUCCUAACUGCAGUAAUACAAUAUAGUGAUCAUAAACAUGACCUUGGAAAUGAUGGGGGGGGGGAACCAGGUAAGGAACAGCUCUCACUUAGACUCUUCACUGAGGCAAGUAGAAGGCCAGCAGAGGUGGAAGGGUGAGCACAGGGGGCCAGAUGCACAUCCUGGGCCCUGAACUUGGCCUGGGCCACCAACCAGCUGUGUAAACUCCGACUCUCAGCCUCUCCAGGGGAACAGUGUGGGAAGGUGUGAGUACAACAGCCAAAGAACAUUGACAGAUACCAGGGACUUCUGUCAUUCCUCUGAAAGCAAGCAUGCAGACACCUCUAGGGAGUCAGAGCACAGGUUACCCCCUUGAACCAGGGUCUGAAGCUCAGGUUUUCCCAACCACUUUUCAUAGCCGGUGGGGGGAAGGGUAUAGGAGUCACUGUUGGGGUGCUGCAGAGAGUCCCUGGCCUUCUCAGUCCCUUGGGGGCUAGAACUAGGAACAGAAAGCACAGGACCUCGGUAAAGCACAACUGCAUUUGGGAAACUGUGCACUUUCUAACCAGGUCCCAGGUGCACAUUUACCGUAUACCUAACUGCUGGAAUCUAAAAGGACUCUCCCAUCUCUGUGUUACCAAACCCAGGGUCAAAACAUUGGCAGACCCACCACGUCCUCUCCCUCUUAGCCUCUCGGCUCCACAGGAGCAUGGUCCAGUGACAUGUAGACCCUUCUCCUGAUGGAGGCUUUACAACAGGACCCCCACUGAGUGGCUGGCAGUGGCUGUCCCUCAGCUGCUACCUGUAGUACAGUGAACACAGUGCUCCCUCCCUCCACUACUCAGCCCCUCCCCCCACCACUCAGACCUGUGUAACUCAGGCUCAGUACCCCACCAGGCUUUCUAAUGACAAUUCUGUCUUGUGUAAAUUAGGAUGUUUCCUUGUUACCCAGA